UACGAGGGGGGCGAGCGUUGUUCGGAAUUAUUGGGCGUAAAGGGUGCGUAGGCGGCCUGACAAGUCUGAUGUGAAAUCCCUGGGCUCAACCCAGGGCCUGCAUCGGAAACUGUCGGGCUUGAGUAUGGGAGAGGUGAGUGGAAUUUCCGGUGUAGCGGUGAAAUGCGUAGAUAUCGGAAGGAACACCUGUGGCGAAAGCGGCUCACUGGACCAUUACUGACGCUGAGGCACGAAAGCUAGGGGAGCAAGCAGG
rnacentral:rRNA from 1 species